AUUUCUUAUCGUCACGUUAACAAUGUCUCGGUUUGGUCUUACCUUUCUGCCUCUUCUUCCGCAGCUCCACAGGAACCGUCAGCAGCAAACGGUUCGGAGGCUUUGCCCGGACACACCGACCUGUCGCUGAUCGGAGACCCAGAGGGAAAGACCUCCAGUCCAUCGGGAAGCACCAGCAUCUUCUUCGACACUAUAGGGGAGGAACAGCAGAACGAAAACAACAACAACCCAUCGGUUUGCUCCAGUGACCCAUUUGUUGAAAUACACCUGGAAGAUAAUCUCCUCAGCUCCUUUGAAGCUCCUUCCUCCGUCCUGCCCUUCUCUCCUUUCUCCUUCUUCUCUUCUUCCUCUUAGCACCUCCAAUGAUCAGAAUCAGAAUCAUUGUAUUACCAAGUAGGUUAAGAGAUAUUAGUUGGUGUAUUUGGUGCUUACAUAAACACAGUCAAAGAAGAUACAAUUGUAAGAAAAGGACCAUCAAAUAAAACAAGGUUAAAAAAACGAAAUUUAACGAAAAAUAUUAUAACAUUAAAAUACAGUAAUAUUUACAUGAAAUAUAGAUUAAAUAUAGAUGUAUAGUCCCGUAACAAAUACAAUAUAAUAAAAUAAAGUGUGCGCAGUAUUGGUAUGAUAAAGGGUACUUAAAACACACACACACACACACACACACACACACACACACACACACACACACACACACACACACACACAGUUAUUUUAGAGACUUUUUGUCCUCGGAUCAGUGAAACAGCAGUUAGCUCAGUUAGCAGAAACUACCGUUAGCUAGCUAAGCUAACUGGCUAAGCUAACUAGCUAGUAGGAUGAUUAGGCAGUUUAUUUGUAUUGCCGUUUCUAAAGUAUUAGGAGUAUUAAUACAUAUAAAUAACAAGUAAACAGAGAGCAACAGUAACUGUAUAAUAUGACAGAUAUACAUUCAUAUUUUUUAAAGCUAUUUUGUGAAGUUAUACACCUCUCUGUGUAAAAUACUAGAAACUGAAAUCAUGUAGGACUUUUUAUUUGUAGUAUUUUCAGUAUUUUUACAUAAGAAUGUUUUUUUUUUAUAUGUUUUUCAGAAAAUACAUUUUACUGCUGACAUUUUGCUUAAAUUAGAUGGGUUUUGGACCAGACUGACAUACAAAUGUGUAACGUUGUGUUGUAUAGACAAACUGAUGUUGUUGUUUUUUUAUCAUUAUGCCUUGUGUUCGUGUUUUCAGUGGCUUGUAAUUAUAUUUUGAAUAAAUCAGAACUUGUUCAUGAGUUGUACAACUGUUAUUUUUCACAAUUGCUAGAUCUGUUUACAUUUUUUAAAUAAAACUUCACUCCAACUGUU